AGCACCAUCUCUUUUCCUUGAUGGAAGGUCAUUAGUUUUAUCAAAAACAAUAUUAAUUAACUCUUCCAUUACUAGUAAUCUUUUAUUAAAUACUCUAAAAGCUUUACUAGAAAUGGAGUAGCCAAGAAAGAUAGCUUCAUCAGAUUUAGCAUCAAAUUUACCUAAGCUAUCUUUGUCAUUAUUCAAAAUAAAAUACCGACAACCAAAAACAUG
rnacentral:lncRNA from 1 species